rnacentral:rRNA from 1 species
CAAUAGCGUAUAUUAAAGUUGUUGCGGUUAAAAGCUCGUAGUUGGAUUUCUGCUGAGGACGACCGGUCCGCCCUCUGGGUGAGUAUCUGGCUUGGCCUGGGCAUCUUCUUGGAGAACGUAGCUGCACUUGACUGUGUGGUGCGGUAUCCAGGACUUUUACUUUGAGGAAAUUAGAGUGUUUAAAGCAGGCAUUUGCUAUGAAUACAUUAGCAUGGAAUAAUAAUCUAGGACUUCGGUUCUAUUUGUUGGUUUCUUAGAUCUGAAGUAAUGAUUGAUAGGGAGUAGUUGGGGGUUGGCUAGUAUUAAGGGGCCGAGAGGUGGAAAUUACUUGGAUUCUCUUAAGACUAACUUAUGCGAAAG